AACAGAGUUUGAUCCUGGCUCAGAUUGAACGCUGGCGGCAGGCCUAACACAUGCAAGUCGAGCGGAAACGAGUUAUCUGAACCUUCGGGGGACGAUAACGGCGUCGAGCGGCGGACGGGUGAGUAAUGCCUAGGAAAUUGCCCUGAUGUGGGGGAUAACCAUUGGAAACGAUGGCUAAUACCGCAUAAUGCCUACGGGCCAAAGAGGGGGACCUUCGGGCCUCUCGCGUCAGGAUAUGCCUAGGUGGGAUUAGCUAGUUGGUGAGGUAAUGGCUCACCAAGGCGACGAUCCCUAGCUGGUCUGAGAGGAUGAUCAGCCACACUGGAACUGAGACACGGUCCAGACUCCUACGGGAGGCAGCAGUGGGGAAUAUUGCACAAUGGGCGCAAGCCUGAUGCAGCCAUGCCGCGUGUGUGAAGAAGGCCUUCGGGUUGUAAAGCACUUUCAGUCGUGAGGAAGGUAGUGUAGUUAAUAGCUGCAUUAUUUGACGUUAGCGACAGAAGAAGCACCGGCUAACUCCGUGCCAGCAGCCGCGGUAAUACGGAGGGUGCGAGCGUUAAUCGGAAUUACUGGGCGUAUAGCGCAUGCAGGUGGUUUGUUAAGUCAGAUGUGAAGCCCGGGGCUCAACCUCGGAAUAGCAUUUGAAACUGGCAGGCUAGAGUACUGUAGAGGGGGGUAGAAUUUCAGGUGUAGCGGUGAAAUGCGUAGAGAUCUGAAGGAAUACCGGUGGCGAAGGCGGCCCCCUGGACAGAUACUGACACUCAGAUGCGAAAGCGUGGGGAGCAAACAGGAUUAGAUACCCUGGUAGUCCACGCCGUAAACGAUGUCUACUUGGAGGUUGUGGCCUUGAGCCGUGGCUUUCGGAGCUAACGCGUUAAGUAGACCGCCUGGGGAGUACGGUCGCAAGAUUAAAACUCAAAUGAAUUGACGGGGGCCCGCACAAGCGGUGGAGCAUGUGGUUUAAUUCGAUGCAACGCGAAGAACCUUACCUACUCUUGACAUCCAGAGAACUUUCCAGAGAUGGAUUGGUGCCUUCGGGAACUCUGAGACAGGUGCUGCAUGGCUGUCGUCAGCUCGUGUUGUGAAAUGUUGGGUUAAGUCCCGCAACGAGCGCAACCCUUAUCCUUGUUUGCCAGCGAGUAAUGUCGGGAACUCCAGGGAGACUGCCGGUGAUAAACCGGAGGAAGGUGGGGACGACGUCAAGUCAUCAUGGCCCUUACGAGUAGGGCUACACACGUGCUACAAUGGCGCAUACAGAGGGCAGCAAGCUAGCGAUAGUGAGCGAAUCCCAAAAAGUGCGUCGUAGUCCGGAUUGGAGUCUGCAACUCGACUCCAUGAAGUCGGAAUCGCUAGUAAUCGUGGAUCAGAAUGCCACGGUGAAUACGUUCCCGGGCCUUGUACACACCGCCCGUCACACCAUGGGAGUGGGCUGCAAAAGAAGUAGGUAGUUUAACCUUCGGGAGGACGCUUACCACUUUGUGGUUCAUGACUGGGGUGAAGUCGUAACAAGGUAGCGCUAGGGGAACCUGGGGCUGGAUCACCUCCUUA
rnacentral:rRNA from 1 species